GCACAAGCGGUGGAGCAUGUGGUUUAAUUCGACGCAACGCGAAGAACCUUACCUGGGCUCGAAAUGUACCGGAAUCCGGCAGAAACGUCGGCGUCUAGCAAUAGACCGGUAUAUAGGUGCUGCAUGGCUGUCGUCAGCUCGUGUCGUGAGAUGUUGGGUUAAGUCCCGCAACGAGCGCAACCCUUAUCUUCAGUUGCUACCAUUUAGUUGAGCACUCUGACGAAACCGCCUCGGAUAACGGGGAGGAAGGUGGGGAUGACGUCAAGUCCUCAUGGCCUCUAUGUCCAGGGCUACACACGUGCUACAAUGGCCGGUACAAACCGCUGCAAACCCGCGAGGGGGAGCUAAUCGGAAAAAGCCGGCCUCAGUUCGGAUUGGAGUCUGCAACUCGACUCCAUGAAGCUGGAAUCGCUAGUAAUCGUGGAUCAGCAUGCCACGGUGAAUACGUUCCCGGGC
rnacentral:rRNA from 1 species